rnacentral:rRNA from 1 species
UUUAUGGAGAGUUUGAUCCUGGCUCAGGAUGAACGCUGGCGGCGUGCCUAAUACAUGCAAGUCGAGCGAACGGACGAGAAGCUUGCUUCUCUGAUGUUAGCGGCGGACGGGUGAGUAACACGUGGAUAACCUACCUAUAAGACUGGGAUAACUUCGGGAAACCGGAGCUAAUACCGGAUAAUAUUUUGAACCGCAUGGUUCAAAAGUGAAAGACGGUCUUGCUGUCACUUAUAGAUGGAUCCGCGCUGCAUUAGCUAGUUGGUAAGGUAACGGCUUACCAAGGCAACGAUGCAUAGCCGACCUGAGAGGGUGAUCGGCCACACUGGAACUGAGACACGGUCCAGACUCCUACGGGAGGCAGCAGUAGGGAAUCUUCCGCAAUGGGCGAAAGCCUGACGGAGCAACGCCGCGUGAGUGAUGAAGGUCUUCGGAUCGUAAAACUCUGUUAUUAGGGAAGAACAUAUGUGUAAGUAACUGUGCACAUCUUGACGGUACCUAAUCAGAAAGCCACGGCUAACUACGUGCCAGCAGCCGCGGUAAUACGUAGGUGGCAAGCGUUAUCCGGAAUUAUUGGGCGUAAAGCGCGCGUAGGCGGUUUUUUAAGUCUGAUGUGAAAGCCCACGGCUCAACCGUGGAGGGUCAUUGGAAACUGGAAAACUUGAGUGCAGAAGAGGAAAGUGGAAUUCCAUGUGUAGCGGUGAAAUGCGCAGAGAUAUGGAGGAACACCAGUGGCGAAGGCGACUUUCUGGUCUGUAACUGAC